AGGUAGCGAAAUUCCUUGUCGGGUAAGUUCCGACCCGCACGAAAGGCGUAACGAUCUGGGCACUGUCUCAACGAGAGACUCGGUGAAAUUGAAUUGCCUGUGAAGAUGCAGGCUACCCGCGACAGGACGGAAAGACCCCAUGGAGCUUUACUGUAGCUUGAUAUUGAGUGCUUGUACUGCUUGUACAGGAUAGGUAGGAGCCAUAGAAGCCAGGACGCUAGUUUUGGCAGAGGCGUUGGUGGGAUACUACCCUUGCAUUAUGAUCACUCUAACCCGCACCACUGAUCGUGGUGGGAGACAGUGUCAGGUGGGCAGUUUGACUGGGGCGGUCGCCUCCCAAAAGAUAACGGAGGCGCCCAAAGGUUCGCUCAGAAUGGUUGGAAAUCAUUCGCAGAGUGUAAAGGCACAAGCGAGCUUGACUGCGAGACAGACAGGUCGAGCAGGGACGAAAGUCGGGCUUAGUGAUCCGGUGGUUCCGCAUGGAAGGGCCAUCGCUCAACGGAUAAAAGCUACCCUGGGGAUAACAGGCUUAUCUCCCCCAAGAGUCCACAUCGACGGGGAGGUUUGGCACCUCGAUGUCGGCUCAUCGCAUCCUGGGGCUGUAGUCGGUCCCAAGGGUUGGGCUGUUCGCCCAUUAAAGCGGUACGCGAGCUGGGUUCAGAACGUCGUGAGACAGUUCGGUCCCUAUCCGUCGCGGGCGUAGGAAAUUUGAGAGGACCUGUCCUUAGUACGAGAGGACCGGGAUGGACAUACCGCUGGUGUACCAGUUGUUCCGCCAGGAGCAUCGCUGGGUAGCUAUGUAUGGAUGAGAUAAACGCUGAAAGCAUCUAAGCGUGAAACUCGCCUCAAGAUGAGAUUUCCCAUUCCUUAUGGAAGUAAGACCCCUCAGAGAUGAUGAGGUAGAUAGGAUGGAAGUGGAAGUGCCGCGAGGCAUGGAGCGGACCAUUACUAAUCGGUCGAGGACUUAACCAA
rnacentral:rRNA from 1 species